UACGGAGGGUGCGAGCGUUAAUCGGAAUUACUGGGCGUAAAGCGCACGUAGGCGGUUUGUUAAGCAAGAUGUGAAAGCCCCGGGCUCAACCUGGGAAUUGCAUUUUGAACUGGCAGGCUAGAGUUUUGAAGAGGGUGGUAGAAUUUCCUGUGUAGCGGUGAAAUGCGUAGAUAUAGGAAGGAAUACCAGUGGCGAAGGCGGCCACCUGGUCAAAAACUGACGCUGAGGAGCGAAAGCGUGGGGAGCAAACAGG
rnacentral:rRNA from 2 species